rnacentral:rRNA from 1 species
CAGUAGCCGCGGUAAUGCGAAGGGUGCAAGCGUUAAUCGGAAUUACUGGGCGUAAAGCGUGCGUAGGCGGUUUGUUAAGUCUGUUGUGAAAUCCCCGGGCUCAACCUGGGAAUGGCAAUGGAUACUGGCAAGCUAGAGUGUGUCAGAGGAUGGUGGAAUUCCCGGUGUAGCGGUGAAAUGCGUAGAGAUCGGGAGGAACAUCAGUGGCGAAGGCGGCCAUCUGGGACAACACUGACGCUGAGGCACGAAAGCGUGGGGAGCAAACAGGAUUAGAUACCCGCGUAGUCCCUGUCUCUUAUAA